rnacentral:lncRNA from 1 species
UUGAGGCCAGGUGUCAAACUUUGACCGAAAAGCCACCGUUUCAAAAUUUUCAAUCACACGGAUGAUAUUAGACUUUAGUCUAUCCUUACUACGCAGUUUUACUUCUGCAGCUCCACUUGCAGCCUUUCUUUCAUCAAGAGAAGUGCUUCUCCCCAUCCAUACAUAAAUUUCUGACCCACAAUCCAAAAGAUAACAUUUAUUCGUAUCUAGCAACUCCUUUGUUAAAGAAUCAGCAGCAACAGGUUCUGCCUGCC